ACACGACUACAUUAGAUACCCGUGUAGUCCUAGCCGUAAACGAUACUCGCUAGGUGUCGGCCACGGUGCGACCGUUGUCGGUGCCGUAGGGAAGCCGUGAAGCGAGCCACCUGGGAAGUACGGCCGCAAGGCUGAACUUAAAGGAAUUGGCGGGGGAGCACCACAACGGGUGGAGCUUGCGGUUUAAUUGGAUUCAACGCCGGAAGUCUUACCGGGACCGACAGCAACAUGAAGGCCAGGCUGAAGACUUUGCCGGAUUAGCUG
rnacentral:rRNA from 1 species